CUGGACGGGACCGCUGGAGAACAUGUAGAACUCCCCUGCUCAAAGCAGGGGCAACUAGGGCCUGUUGUUUAGGACCAUAUUGUCAGGUUUUGAAUAUCUCCAAGGAUGGAGACUCCACAAACCUGCAUUGAUAAGAUCCCUCUGGCCCUUCCUUUUUAAAGGCUGGAUAGUCACAGCUGCUUCUUGUAUGACAGAUGCUCCAAUUUGCCCACAUCAGCUCCUCAUCUGUGUCAGAAAGUUAUCAUCAGCACUCCAGAGACCUCCUGGUGCCUUAGUGUUGUCCCUGCAGCAGGUAUUGGGGUAGUUGAAGUCCACCAGGGGACCAGGGCCUGUAAACAUGAGACUUCUUCAACUUGUCUGAAGCAGGCCUCGCCUAGUUCUUCCUGAUUCCACAGUCUGUAGCAGACACCCUCAGCAACAUCACCCAGGUGGGUCAGGCCCCUAAUCCUAACACGUAACCCUGAGGUAGCUCGCUGCCCACCCGCAGGCAGAGGUCGAUGCCUUCCUGCUGCUCUCUAUUGUCCUGGGAGACCCCUGCUCCUCGCUUUCCCAGCUGUCCUUUCUGAAGAGCCUGUACCCAUCCAUCACGGCACUCCUGUUCUGUGAACUACCCACCCUGUGAUCCCAAUGAGACUGUAGCCCUGCAACUGCACACAAGCCCCUACUUCCUCCUGUGUAUUCACCAGCCUGUAUUCGUAGGUGUGCAGGCCCUCUGGAGGGAAAUCCUGUCAAGCUGAGCUCCCAACAGAAUUGUGACAUCCCCCAUCAUGCUCAUUUGUGUGGUCAAGGGACAACGUGGUGGUGUCCCCGUCUGUGGCUGGUCCUGCAGAGCUGCAGGACGGGGAUGUUCCCACAAGCAUUGUGAGCAGGAUUCUCCUCUAACCCUUUUUUCACCCGAGCAGCUUUUUGGAAAGGUGAGGCAUCGCUCAGGAGUUGUGAAGGGCUUAAUUCACACUGCAGCAGCUCAGUAUUUGGGGUCUCGCAAGAAAAGCACUGGCUCCUAGUGUUCGAGUCAGCUUGUAGGGCUGGAAGGAGCUUUCAUCUCUCUGCUUCAAAACUAAAUUAGCUGGAAACCACAGGGAAGAAAGCCGAAAAUCUAUUUUUAUAAAGCUUUUUU
rnacentral:lncRNA from 1 species